AUGUGCAUGAUGCUGAUUUUAAAGAUGUAUUGCAGAAUUGUAAAGAAGGAAGAACAUGGAACAAGUUUGUCAUAUAAUGAUGGAUUUGUGUUCCGUGCUAACAAGCUAUGCAUUCCAGCUAGCUCCACUCGUCUUUUGUUGUUGCAGGAGGCGCAUGGAGGAGGAUUAAUGGGACACUUUGGCGUGAAGAAGACGGAGGACGUACUUGCUACACAUUUCUUUUGGCCAAAGAUGAGGCGGGAUGUUGAGCGCUUUGUUGCUCGCUGCACUACAUGUCAAAAAGCUAAAUCACGACUCAAUCCUCAUGGUUUAUAUAUGCCUUUGCCUGUACCUAGUGUUCCUUGGGAGGAUAUAUCUGUGGACUUUGUUUUAGGUUUACCUCGAACAAAGAAGGGGAGGGAUAGCAUAUUUGUUGUCGUGGAUAGAUUCUCGAAAAUUGCACACUUUAUACCAUGUCAUAAAAGCGAUGAUGAUGUUAAUGUUGCUGAUUUGUUCUUUCAUGAAAUUAUUCGCUUGCAUGGUGUGCCAAAUACUAUUGUUUCAGAUCGUGAUACUAAAUUUCUUAGACACUCUUGGAGAUGUUUAUGGGCUAAGUUGGGGACAAAACUUCUUUUUAAUACUACUUGUCACCCCCAAACUGAUGGAGAAACUGAAGUAGUCAAUAGAACAUCGUCUACUAUGCUUAGGGCUGUUUUGAAGAAUAAUAAGAAAAUGUGGGAGGAAUGCUUGCCUCAUAUUGAAUUUGCUUAUAAUCGUUCGUUGCAUUCUACUACUAAGAUGUGCCCUUUUGAAAUUGUGUAUGGUUUCCUACCUUGUGCACCUAUUGAUUUGUUGCCUCUUCCAUCUUCGGAGAAGGUUAUUUUGAUGCUAAACAACGUGCUGAUUUGA
rnacentral:rRNA from 1 species